rnacentral:rRNA from 1 species
UAUACUGCAAGUCGAACGAGUAGUAAUACUAGUGGCGCACGGGUGAGGAAUAUAUGGGUAAUCUGCCCUCGAGUUGGGGAUAACCAGUCGAAAGACUGGCUAAUACCGGAUAAGACCACAGGAUCUGCGGAUCUAGGGGUUAAAGUUUUUUCGCUUGAGGAUGAGCCCAUACGGGAUUAGCUAGUUGGUGAGGUAAUGGCUCACCAAGGCUACGAUCCCUAACUGGUCUUAGAGGAUGAUCAGUCACACUGGAACUGAGACACGGUCCAGACUCCUACGGGAGGCAGCAGUAGGGAAUAUUGCACAAUGGGGGAAACCCUGAUGCAGCGACGCCGCGUGAGUGAUGAAGGCCUUCGGGUCGUAAAGCUCUGUCGCAUGGGACUAACACAAUGAAGGUACCAUGCAAGAAAGGAUCGGCUAACUUCGUGCCAGCAGCCGCGGUAAGACGAGGGAUCCUAGCGUUGUUCGGAAUCAUUGGGCGUAAAGCGGGUGUAGGCGGACUUAUAAGUCAGGUGUGAAAUCCCAGGGCUCAACCCUGGAAGUGCAUUUGAUACUGUAAGUCUUGAGUGUGGUAGAGGUUACUGGAAUUCCUGGUGUAGUGGUGAAAUACGUAGAUAUCAGGAGGAAUACCGGAGGCGAAGGCGGGUAACUGGGCCAACACUGACGCUGAGAUCCGAAAGCGUGGGGAUCAAACAGGAUUAGAUACCCUGGUAGUCCACGCUGUAAACGAUGGAUACUUGUUGUUAGAGGUAUUGACCCCUCUAGUGACGUAGCUAACGCGAUAAGUAUCCCGCCUGGGGAGUCGG